rnacentral:rRNA from 1 species
UACGUAGGGUGCGAGCGUUGUCCGGAAUUAUUGGGCGUAAAGGGCUCGUAGGCGGUCUGUCACGUCGGGAGUGAAAACACGGGGCUUAACCCCGUGCCUGCUUCCGAUACGGGCAGACUAGAGGUAUGCAGGGGAGAAUGGAAUUCCUGGUGUAGCGGUGGAAUGCGCAGAUAUCAGGAGGAACACCGGUGGCGAAGGCGGGUCUCUGGGCCGUUACUGACGCUGAGGAGCGAAAGCGUGGGGAGCGAACAGG